UACGUAGGGUGCAAGCGUUGUCCGGAAUUAUUGGGCGUAAAGAGCUCGUAGGCGGUCUGUUGCGUCGGCUGUGAAAACCCGAGGCUCAACCUCGGGCCUGCAGCCGAUACGGGCAGACUAGAGUUCGGCAGGGGAGACUGGAAUUCCUGGUGUAGCGGUGAAAUGCGCAGAUAUCAGGAGGAACACCGGUGGCGAAGGCGGGUCUCUGGGCCGAUACUGACACUGAGGAGCGAAAGCGUGGGAGCGAACAGG
rnacentral:rRNA from 1 species